GACGAACCGUGCAAACGUUGUUCGGAAUCACUGGGCUUAAAGGGCGCGUAGGCGGGCCAGCCAGUCUGUGGUGAAAGCCUCCAGCUUAACUGGAGAAGUGCCGUGGAUACUGCUGGCCUCGAGGAGGAUAGGGGCAUCUGGAACGGUCGGUGGAGCGGUGAAAUGCGUUGAUAUCGACCGGAACUCCGGUGGCGAAGGCGAGGUGCUGGGUCCUUCUGACGCUGAUGCGCGAAAGCCAGGGAGCAAACGGG
rnacentral:rRNA from 1 species